AUGUCAGAGCUUCGCGAUCUUCCCGCAGUCCUUGCAGCGGGGUCUGACGAAAGGUCAUAUGUGAUCGAGGUAGACGGCUAUUCAAGAAUCAAGGGGAUGAUCGGGCAUGGCGACAAAGUGAAAUCUGCCCCUUUCAGUGUUGGAGGCUACGUCUACGACUGGGUUUUGUGGUUCUACCCAAACGGCAGCGACAUCACACAUUAUGAAGCCGGUUACGUAUCUGUUUUUCUGGCUCUUGAUUCUGGUUUUGCCACGGACGUGAGGGCGAAAUUUAGAAUUACUUUGCUUGACAAGAAUGGGGAACCAGACAUUACAAGAAGCAAGACCAAUCCCGAACGCAUCUUCUCUAGCAAAGGUUCAUGCAAGGGUUUCAGUGAUUUUGUCGGCAGAGCUUAUCUUGAGAAUCCAAGGACUCUAAGCAACGAUAGUGUCAGCAUCAUGUGCCAUGUUACUGUCGUGAAGAAUAUCCACAAAGGUGAUCGGCUUAUCGUGGUUACUUCAAGAAACUUGCAUCAACAUCUUGGAGACCUACUAAAGAGCAUGGAUGGAGCCGACGUGACCUUUCAUGUCGGCGGGGAGAGUUUCUCGGCUCAUAGGGUCGUGCUCGCCGCUCGGUCAUCCGUAUUCAGAGCGGAGCUCUUUGGCGGCAUGAAGGAGAAAGCCGGUGGUCCGAUUGAAAUUAGUGACAUGGAAAGUGAUGUGUUCAAGGCCUUGCUCCACUUUAUAUACACAGACGAGUAUGAGCCUGUUCCUGAGAUGACCGAUGGAUGUGAAGCACGGAGAAAAGCGGUGAUGGCUGGCCAUCUACUUGUUGCAGCAGAAAGAUACAAUAUCGAGAGGCUGAAGCUGAUAUGCGAAGAGAGGAUGUGCAACCUCAUCAACCCUGACAUCGUGGCGACUAGUUUGGCUCUAGCUGAGCAGCACGGCUUCCAUACAUUCAAGGAUGCCUGCUUUGAGUUCCUCGCUUCGCCUUCCAAUCCAGAGGCGAUGAUGGCAAGUGAUGGUUACGAGCAUCUGAAGAAUAGCUGCCCAUCAGUUCUCAAGGAGCUGGCUGCUAGCUUCCUGCCUGCCGAACUGAAAGCGGCCAAAGAUAUUAUCAUGACAAUUUAG
rnacentral:rRNA from 1 species